UGUUUAGUUGUGAAUUAUCCAUUCACAACAACACUCAUCGAAUUCUUCUUUAUUAACAAGAGCAAAUUAGCAACAUGAACUUGGUUCUUGGAAGCCCUUCAGAUUAUCAAGGUUUUCUUUUGUGGUGGAUUCUAUUGUAGAGGAUGCCCCAUAUCUACGGGUGAAGUAAAGCUUAGAAGUUCAAAUCCGACUGAUUCUCCGGAUGUUAAAUUCAACAAUUUCAAAGAACCAGAAGACAUGGAAAAAUGUGUUGAUGGGAUUAGUACCUAAAAGCAAUUGAAUCUAAAGCACUAUCUAAGUUUAGAUAUGCAAAUAUGACUACUCAGUUAAAAUUGGUAGGCUGUUGACGAGUCGAGCCGAAUCGAGCGGACCUUUGCUCGUAUUUGGCUCGUUUACAAACUGAAUCGAGCGCAGCGGCUCAUUUAAAACCGAGCCUCAAAUUAAUAGAGCAUUUUUCGAGCAGUAAAUAUUCCAAACGAGCGUCGAGUGAAGUUCAAGCGAUUUGGACAAUCAUGUCGCCCGAGUUAAAUUUGCUGGGAGAGAUAGUGACAAUGUUUGGUCUCAAGUUUUAUGUCUUUAAAAACAGGCAUAUUUCAUGGCAUAGUAUUUUUCUUAUGAAUAAUAAUGUUGUGGUCGACGAGGCGAUGAUUAUAUUUCACGAACAAUAACGUUGAGAACAGAAGGCGUUCGACUUAGGGUAAUGACACAAAACAUUGAGGUGAUGAGCAGACUGUUGUUUAUUGGUUUAGAGUUUAAUUUUUAGAUUUGAUAUUAAUUUUUUAUUGGCGUGAUUGAACUAGUACGUAUGAAUAUAGUUGUAAAUUUAUAUAUAGUGGAC
rnacentral:lncRNA from 1 species